GCCCGCCCGCCGGAGCGGGUGUGGGGGACAAAGGGUCCCAGCUUGGGGUACCCGACCGCCACUCCCGGGGCGUUCAGAGUCGGCCCCGGAACGAGCAUUUUUGGUUCCGCUCUUGAGUGGUUCUGAGGCACGUCUGAAAGAAUUACAGAAGCAUCCCUAAGAUGGAAAAAGACGAGCAUCCAGGUUAUCAGAAUCUCUCCUGGGGAGGCUUAUGCAAUUGAGUGGAAAGACCACGUCUUCACAGCUGAAAGCCAACAUUGAAUCUACCUCUAAGGGAAAUGGGUUCAGAUGGCGACACAAUUAAGGGAAGCUUACCUGGCCAGAACUAAAUGGCUGAUGAAAGAAUGAUGAAAGACUCAGACCUGCUCGCAUCAGAGGGGAGUGAUCUAAAUGGCAGUCUCCAGAGCAGUGGGAGGUGCUUUGAGGAAG
rnacentral:lncRNA from 1 species